rnacentral:lncRNA from 1 species
GUUGAAAAAUUCUCAAAUCUUGACACUAAACACCAACUUUGCCAAGUCUUACCACCAAAAAUGACUUGUUUGAAACCAACCAAAUUUAAAAAUUUCUUGCACCUGUAUUUUGACACUAGUCGUCAUUUGGGGAUUUAAAGAGUGCAUUGCAGCCUCUAAGUCCCAAAAACGAAGACUUUCAAAAAUUUAAAAAUCUUGGCAUCAAGUACCAACUUUGCCAAGUCUCGCCACCAAAUAUGGUUUGCUUGAAAACUAACCAAGUUGAAAAAUUUCUUGCACCUAUAUUUUGCAAGUAGUCGUCAUAUGCGGGUUAAAAGAGUGCAUUGCAGCCCAUAAGUCUAACAAAACCAAGUUGUUGAAAAAUUCUUAAAUCUUGACGCCAAGCACCAACUUUGCCAAGUCUUACCACCAAAAAUGACUUGUUUGAAAACCAUCCAAAUUUAAAAAUUCUCUGCACCUAUAUUUUGCCACUAGUCGUCA